UAAUACUCGAGCCCCGAGUGGUAUCCACGAUUAAUGGGUCUAAAGCGUCCGUAGCCGGUUUGGUAAGUCCUCAGUGAAAUUUCAUGGUAAACCAUGGAGCUUGCUGGAGAUACUGCUGAACUCGGGACCGGGAGAGGACAGAGGUACUCCUGGGGGAGGGGUAAAAUCCUAUAAUCCUGGGGGGACCACCAGUGGCGAAGGCUUCUGUCUAGAACGGGUCCGACGGUGAGGGACGAAACCUAGGGUAGCGAUCGGGAUUAGAUAUUAUUUUUAGGAAUGAAAUUAAUGCAAAACGCAAAUUUCAAUAAUACCUGAAAUAACAAAAACCCCGGUAGUCCUAGGCGUAAACAAUGCCCGUUUGGUGUUGCGAACCUUUUGGGGGUUUGCAGUGCCGGAGCGUAGGUGUUAAACGGGCCACCUGGGGAGUAUGACCGCAAGGUUG
rnacentral:rRNA from 1 species